rnacentral:rRNA from 1 species
CCUUUCCUUUGGGAGACAGCGGUGGGGAAUUUUGGACAAUGGGGGCAAACCUGAUCCAGCCAUUCCGCGUGAGUGAAGAAGGCCUUCGGGUUGUAAAGCUCUUUCAGGCGGAAAGAAAUCGCACGGGUUAAUACCCUGUGUGGAUGACGGUACCAUCAGAAGAAGCACCGGCUAACUACGUGCCAGCAGCCGCGGUAAUACGUAGGGUGCGAGCGUUAAUCGGAAUUACUGGGCGUAAAGCGUGCGCAGGCGGUGAUGUAAGACAGAUGUGAAAUCCCCGGGCUCAACCUGGGAAAUGCGUUUGUGACUGCAUAACUAGAGUACGGCAGAGGGAGGUGGAAUUCCGCGUGUAGCAGUGAAAUGCGUAGAGAUGUGGAGGAACACCCAUGGCGAAGGCAGCCUCCUGGGCCAGUACUGACGCUCAUGCACGAAAGAGUGGGGAGCAAACACGAUUAGAUACCCCGGUAGUCCACGCCCUAAACGAUGUCAAAUAGUUGUUCGGUGAGGAGACUCAUUGAGUAACGCAGCUAACGCGAGAAGUGACCGCAUGGGAUACGCCACUG